rnacentral:tRNA from 1 species
UGGGGUUUUGGCUCAAGAGGUAGAGUGCUCACCUAGCAUGCGUGAGGCACUGGGUUCAAUCCUCAGCACCACAU